AAUAGCGGCCACAGCAGGUGUGUCACACCCGUUCCCAUUCCGAACACGGAAGUUAAGACACCUCACGUGGAUACCUGUACUGAGGUACGCG
rnacentral:rRNA from 1 species